AUCUAUUGCCACACCACCCUGAACACACCUGACCUCAUCUGAUCGCAGAAGCUAAGCAGGGUUGGGCCUGGCUAGUGCUUGGAUGGGAGACCACAGAUUCAUGCCAGGGGUUGUGCUGA
rfam:Fukomys damarensis contig151830, whole genome shotgun sequence.